rnacentral:rRNA from 1 species
AUUGAACGCUGGCGGCAUGCCUUACACAUGCAAGUCGAACGGCAGCACGGGUGCUUGCACCUGGUGGCGAGUGGCGAACGGGUGAGUAAUACAUCGGAACGUACCUUAUCGUGGGGGAUAACGCAGCGAAAGUUGCGCUAAUACCGCAUACGCCCUGAGGGGGAAAGCGGGGGACCGUAAGGCCUCGCGCGAUUAGAGCGGCCGAUGUCUGAUUAGCUUGUUGGUGAGGUAAAAGCUCACCAAGGCGAUGAUCAGUAGCUGGUCUGAGAGGACGAUCAGCCACACGGGGACGGAGACACGGCCCAGACUCCUACGGGAGGCAGCAGUGGGGAAUUUUGGACAAUGGGGGCAACCCUGAUCCAGCAAUGCCGCGUGAGUGAAGAAGGCCUUCGGGUUGUAAAGCUCUUUUGUCAGGGAAGAAACAGCAGCUCUAACACAGUCUGCGAAUGACGGUACCUGAAGAAUAAGCACCGGCUAACUACGUGCCAGCAGCCGCUGUAA